rnacentral:lncRNA from 10 species
CCUCCCUUUGCUCGGAGUCCUUACCAGGACGCUUCUCUCCUUUAUGCUACUCCUGCAGCAACAAAUGACAGUUCCUGUUGUUCCAGUUUCUUGCCAGCACUGGUGUUGAUGCUUUGGGUUUUAACCAUUCUAAUAGAUGUGACCCAUGCAGACAGUUCUCUGCUUUUGCCAUGAGGCCGCAACUGAGCUGUUGGAGAAUGAGACAUGAGAAACCAAGCUGCGUCAUUGCAGUUGUCCCAUCUGUGGCCCUCACAGGUCAGUCAAUAGCCAGCCUACCCAUACGUGCUUGAGCAACAAUAGCCAUGAUCAGCAGAGUCUCCUAGCCAAUUAGCCCAUAUAUGUUUAAAAUGAUAAUUGUUUCAGAGUUUGUGGUUUGUUACACCACAAACUGUAGUGAUAAAUAACUGAUAGAGAAUGACAUACAAUGCUGGACUUACAAUGUCUAUUUAUGCUUUAAACAUUUUGUUUAUAUUUUGGGAGACAUGCAAAAUCAUUCAGAGGUGAAAAAUACUAAUAAUACAUUUUUAAA